UACGUAGGGUGCAAGCGUUGUCCGGAAUUAUUGGGCGUAAAGAGCGUGUAGGCGGCCAGGUAGGUCCGUUGUGAAAACUCGAGGCUCAACCUCGAGACGUCGAUGGAAACCAUCUGGCUAGAGUCCGGAAGAGGAGAGUGGAAUUCCUGGUGUAGCGGUGAAAUGCGCAGAUAUCAGGAAGAACACCUAUGGCGAAGGCAGCUCUCUGGGACGGUACUGACGCUGAGACGCGAAAGCGUGGGGAGCGAACAGG
rnacentral:rRNA from 1 species